CUUUCCGGUAAGGAAAGCUUGGGGAACACAAGGAAAAGGGAGAAACCGAAGCUCUACCGAAAACCUAGGGCGCUCCUCGUGUUGUAAGUCCAAGAACCACCGCGAUACAGAUAAGAGUAAAGGAAAAGCUAAAGUGUUAUAGAGGAAGGCGACAAGGAGAUGUUGGUGGUGUGUGUGUGAUGCCGGAUAUGGAAGCUUGGGACCUUACUAGAAGAGUUUAGAAAUUGUAUUUGCUGGUGUUUAUGUUACUGUUAGAGUAGAAUUUAUUUUGCAUUACUAAUUUCGUUAUCUUCCUGUCAUUUAGUUGGAAUAACUGUUAAGCUGAGAACAUGUUCCUUUUUCCUUAUUCUGGCUUAGUUUUCAAGUUUUGUGAAGUAAGAUCAUAUCUGAUUGGAGUUUGAUUUUUUUUA